rnacentral:rRNA from 1 species
AUUGAACGCUAGCGGCAGGCUUAACACAUGCAAGUCGAGGGGUAGAGGUUGCUUGCAACCUUGAGACCGGCGCACGGGUGCGUAACGCGUAUGCAACCUACCUUUUACAGAGGGAUAGCCCAGAGAAAUUUGGAUUAAUACCUCAUAGUAUAUAACCUUCGCAUGUUGGUUAUAUUAAAGUUCCAACGGUAAAAGAUGGGCAUGCGCCCUAUUAGCUAGAUGGUAAGGUAACGGCUUACCAUGGCAACGAUAGGUAGGGGUCCUGAGAGGGAGAGCCCCCACACUGGAACUGAGACACGGACCAGACUCCUACGGGAGGUAGCAGUGAGGAAUAUUGGACAAUGGGCGCAAGCCUGAUCCAGCCAUGCCGCGUGCAGGAAGAAGCAUCUAUGGUGUGUAAACUGCUUUUGUACAGGAAGAAACACCCCGACGUGUCGGGACUUGACGGUACUGUAAGAAUAAGGAUCGGCUAACUCCGUGCCAGCCGCCGCGGUAACAC